rnacentral:rRNA from 1 species
AGCAGCCGCGGUAAUUCCAGCUCCAAUAGCGUAUAUUAAAGUUGUUGCAGUUAAAAAGCUCGUAGUUGAAUUUCGGGAUCAUCAGGUUGGUCGUGCCUCUGGUAUGUACUGAUUUCGAUGGUUCCUCCUUCUUGAAGAACCGUAAUGCCAUUAAUUUGGUGUUGCGGGGAAACAGGACUGUUACUUUGAAAAAAUUAGAGUGUUUAAAGCAGGCAAUCGCUUGAAUACAUUAGCAUGGAAUAAUGAAAUAGGACGUUCGAUCCUAUUUUGUUGGUUUCUAGGAUUGACGUAAUGAUUAAUAGGGAUAGUUGGGGGCAUUAGUAUUCAAUUGUCAGAGGUGAAAUUCUUGGAUUUAUUGAAGACUAACUACUGCGAAAGCAUUUGCCAAGGAUGUUUUCAUUAAUCAAGAACGAAAGUUAGGGGAUCGAAGACGAUCAGAUACCGUCGUAGUCUUAACCAUAAACUAUGCCGACUAGGGAUCGGAUGAUGUUAAUUUUUUAAUGACUCAUUCGGCGUCCG